GACGAACGCUGGCGGCGUGCCUAAUACAUGCAAGUAGGACGCAGUUGCGAACGGGUGAGUAACGCGUAGGUAACUGCCUAUUAGAGGGGGAUAACUAUUGGAAACGAUAGCUAAUACCGCAUACUAGUAGAUGGACCUGCGUUGUUUUCGCUAGUAGGUAGGGUAAUGGCCUACCUAGGCGACGAUACAUAGCCGACCGGGUAGGGUGAACGGCCACACUGGGACUGAGACACGGGCCAGACUCCUACGGGAGGCAGCAGUAGGGAAUCUUCGGCAAUGGGGGGAACCCUGACCGAGCAACGCCGCGUGAGUGAAGAAGGUGUUCGGAUCGUAAAGCUCUGUUGUUAAGGAAGCGGUACUUAACCAGAAAGGGACGGCUAACUACGUGCCAGCCGCCGCGGUAAUUC
rnacentral:rRNA from 1 species